CGCUGGCGGCGUGCCUAAUACAUGCAAGUCGAACGGCUUUUCUAUGGAAGCUUGCUUCCACUGAGAAGAUAGUGGCGAACGGGUGAGUAACACGUGGGUAACCUGCCCAUAAGAGGGGGAUAACAUCCGGAAACGGGUGCUAAUACCGCAUAGUUUUCUUGAUCGCAUGAUUGAGAAAGGAAAGACGGCCUUUGUGCUGUCGCUUAUGGAUGGACCCGCGGCGUAUUAGUUAGUUGGUGAGGUAACGGCUCACCAAGACGAUGAUACGUAGCCGACCUGAGAGGGUGAUCGGCCACAUUGGGACUGAGACACGGCCCAAACUCCUACGGGAGGCAGCAGUAGGGAAUCUUCCGCAAUGGACGAAAGUCUGACGGAGCAACGCCGCGUGAGUGAAGAAGGUUUUUCCGGAUCGUAAAACUCUGUUGUCAGAGAAGAACAAGUUGGAGAGUAACUGCUCCAGCCUUGACGGUAUCUGACCAGAAAGCCACGGCUAACUACGUGCCAGCCGCUGC
rnacentral:rRNA from 1 species